UACGUAGGGCGCAAGCGUUAUCCGGAAUUAUUGGGCGUAAAGGGCUCGUAGGCGGUCUGUUGCGUCGGGAGUGAAAACUUACAGCUUAACUGUGAGCGUGCUUUCGAUACGGGCAGACUUGAGGCAUUCAGGGGAGAACGGAAUUCCUGGUGUAGCGGUGAAAUGCGCAGAUAUCAGGAGGAACACCGGUGGCGAAGGCGGCGCUCUGGACCGAGACUGACGCUGAGGCGCGAAAGCGUGGGGAGCAAACAGG
rnacentral:rRNA from 1 species